rnacentral:misc_RNA from 1 species
AUUCUUGACGAGCUCGUCAUGGAGUAAAGAGGGAGGGGAAAUUUUCUACAUUUUUAUUUGAAUUUCGCUCCUAGAUACGGAAACUGGUAAGUUAAAUUUAACAAAUUUUUAUAAAUAUAUCAAUGUAGAAUAUAAAACAAGAAUAAUAAAACAAUAUAUAUAUUAUGUCCAAAGCCAUUUUUGAUAAAGUUUAUAAAACAGUUGGGCAUUAUUUAUAGCAUACAAUAUCUAAAAUAUAUAAUAUGAGAAUAAGUGUCGUAUACGAAAAUGCUAGGAGAUACUUGAAAUUCCCAAGUACCAAAGUAAACAAAAGAAUCUAUUCAAACCUUUAAUAUAUAAACUCACUGAAUACAUCUACGUUAUCUAUUGACUGAUAAAUAAAGGAUAUAAGCAAACUAAGAGAGUAAUUGCGUUCAAUUAGCGUUGUAAACCUAUAACCCUGAUGUGUUUUAGUUCAGGUAAUGAAUUAAAUUAGUUAAUUAUAGAUACUGUGUAUAUGUGAAAUAUGGUGGUAUAUACAAGAAACAUGCAUAUAUAAAACAUAUACUCUGCAUGUAUAACAAGCAUAUCAGUACAUAUGAAACGUGUAUGUAUAUAAUAACAUAGAAUAUUUAAUGACACUGUAAUUAUUAUAAUCACUAAUUAAAAAUUCCAUGUGUAUAACGCAAAUAGUUACAUUUAUUUAACACUGAAAUAGAGUCGCUUGUAGCAUAUUUCAUGUAAUAAUUAAGUAUUCUUAAAUGGCCUUUCUAUCCAAAAAUCAGAAAGUGAAUCUCUUAGACGCGCUAAAAAUGGACUUCGUUCUUGUCAUCAACCCUGUUUUUUUCUUAAUUUUUUUUUAAUUUACUUACCUUGUAAAAUAAAAGAUUUUUUGUUCAUUAAACUAGGUACAUCAUUCUUUUUUCUUUCACAAACUAUUUUUAAGCUUUAUUAUCUUGAUUGACGUAAGAGUUUUUCGUUGUUUUUCUUUUUUUUAUUAUUUACGAAGACAACCCCUUGUAAAGCCUUUAUUAAUUUUAGAUAGAAAUAUCAAAUACUUUUUUGAUUUUAUCCCCAAUUCUAUACAUUUAUUGAUUAAGAAAUUUCUGAGAACAUUAUAGAGCGAAAUUGCUCUAUAAAAAAACCUUAAAACGAAAUUCGCGGGCGGAAGUGACGUUUUGCAUAUCUAUGGCAAUAGCUUUGAUUGCGCAUGCGUCAGUGUCAAAAAAGAACGAUCAGAGACAAGAGAGAUCCAGCAAGAAAUAUCUUUGAAUAUCACUGUUAAAUCAUUAGGUAAAAGUGGAUCGCCUAAAGAAAAUUAAAGAAAAAUCUAUAAUCUACAGAACAUUUUCGAUUUUAUUCUUUUAGCCCGGUAAGAUAGGGUAUAUUUUUUUGUUUCUAUCCUCUAAAAAUUUUUAAUGUUAUUUUAUGAUUUAUUCGCUUUCUAAAUGUUGUAGGGCGUUUAUUACAAAAAAAUGGAAUUGCGAGUAGGUAAUAAGUAUCGUCUGGGCAGAAAAAUUGGAAGCGGAUCGUUCGGAGACAUAUAUCUAGGCACUGACAUAACCAAUGCCGAGGAAGUCGCUAUUAAACUAGAAUGUGUGAAAACAAAGCAUCCACAAUUACACAUCGAAAGCAAAAUAUAUAAAAUGAUGCAAGGAGGCGUUGGAAUUCCCACCAUUAAAUGGUGCGGAGCCGAAGGAGACUACAACGUCAUGGUUAUGGAGCUACUGGGACCUAGUUUAGAAGAUCUUUUUAAUUUCUGCACAAGAAAAUUUAGCCUGAAAACAGUACUUUUACUGGCGGACCAAUUGAUAAGUAGAAUAGAAUAUAUCCACUCGAAAAAUUUCAUCCAUCGUGACGUUAAGCCUGACAAUUUUCUGAUGGGUCUUGGAAAAAAGGGUAACCUUGUGUAUAUUAUCGAUUUUGGUCUGGCAAAAAAGUAUAGAGAUGCCCGAACGCACCAGCAUAUCGCUUAUAGAGAAAACAAAAAUCUCACGGGUACUGCUCGAUAUGCCAGCAUCAACACACAUUUGGGUAUUGAACAAAGUCGGCGGGAUGAUAUGGAAUCGUUGGGAUAUGUUUUUAUGUAUUUUUUGAGGGGAUCUCUUCCCUGGCAAGGUUUAAAGGCAGCUACAAAGAGACAAAAAUAUGAAAGAAUUUCAGAAAAGAAAAUGUCAACACCUGUGGAGGAGUUGUGUAAAAGCUUCCCAGGAGAAUUUGCAACCUAUUUAAAUUUUUGCAGGUCAUUACGAUUCGAUGACAAGCCAGAUUACAGCUAUUUACGUCAAUUAUUUCGAAAUCUUUUCCACAGACAGGGAUUCACUUAUGAUUAUGUAUUCGAUUGGAAUAUGUUAAAAUUUGUAAGUAAUCCUUAGGACUAAGAGACUAGUUUAUUUUAUAUCGAAAGUAUGAAGGCUAUCUUUUGAGCACAAAAACUUUCCCUAAAAUUUUAUCGUUUAACUUAAAGGAAUUUUAAGCGAAAUUUUAAGUCUAUUUAAAUUCUAUCGCUCUAACAACCAAUAAUAAAAGUAUCCACAUGGAACGCCCUUUCAUUGUAAGAUUCUCAUGUUGACUGAAACUCUGCCAACACUUCUAUUCUCAUGUAGGCGAAAUUUUUUAAAUAGUCACCCUGAACAUUUAAAUCACAAUACCAAUCAUGUUUACAUGUCUUCAUGGAUAUUACGAAGGCUACGAUUGUCUCUAAUAUUGGUUUAAAGAUCAAAUUGCGAAUAUUUUGUAAAAAAAAUUGCCUUAACGCCUAAACUAACGAACAAUGGCUUCAUAGUACAAGCUCUCGUAAGAUCAAACAAAAUAUUUUGUACUGCUUAGGCCUGUUGGUAAUAUAAAAUUUCACCAGUCCUCGACAUUGACUUUUUUCAAGUUUAUGUUUAUUUAAUUGCAAUUUUACUAUCCCUUAAUCGUACUUUUCAGGGCGGAAAUAGCAGAGGUACAGAGAGCAGAGGAACAGAAAAUAAAGGUCCUCCCGACAGAAGAACUUUUCAAAGUGGAACAAGAGCAGCUCUACCCAGCAGCGCAAGAGCGCCAAUUCCUAGCAAUUCCAGAACACCGAUUCCCAACUAUAGACCACAGUUACCUAGUGCAAGAGCGAGGCCAGAAGGAAGAGCAGUGACAAGACAACCACAAACACCCGUAAAUUUCGGACAAGGUAAUUUUUAAGGAAUUUUUAAAGAAGUACUGAUUCUGUAAAACUAAUCUCGGAAAUGUUCUUGUAUUGUAUUCAUUCUACAUACUCACCAUUUGAUGUUAAGAGUUUAGAAAGACUUGGGUUUCUUGACUGUAUUUUAGAAUGCAUUUGAAAGUAGGUCAUUGAUAAAAUGACACUUUUAUCUUAAACAGUUUUAAAUAUCCUUAAACAUCGAAAGUAUUUGGGAUACUAAUUUGGAAAGUAUUUUUGAAGGAAACCUUUAACUUAUUUUUCAGAUUUACCAGUUACUAGAGAUUUUUUUAUUCUACUUAAAAAAUUAAAAAAAGAUCGUAUACUUAAUAAAGUGCUAGCUUAUACUCAAUUCGUAAAAAUUUUCAAAGAGAACCAAGUAAAACAACUUAAUUCGCCAAACUAGUUUAUAUAGCAGAGAAACAACAUCAAAAAUCAGAAGAGCAGUUUCUUUUUAACCACUGCAGACGGACUCCAUUGUAAUUCCCGAUUUAUUGAAUUACAAUGUUUUUAGACUCAAUUUUUUCAUCCUCAAGCUUAGUCACUAAAUCCCGAUAGGUUGAACCCCCAACACGACAGUGCGGUGCUUAGGUUCCGCUAAUUUAGUUUGGUGCUAAGAAAACAUUUUAGGGAAAUUUAAUACAGUCUGGUACUCAAGUCAACGUUCUAAUAUACAAAACUCUUAUUACGGUGUCGUCGAUUGAAUAUUAUUUUGUCCAGAAUUUUGAACUGUAUUAUUGGUAACCAAUUAUCUCACUGGCCCGAAGUUUGUUUAUAUAAGAAAAUAAACGGUCUCCGCGGUAAAGUACAUUGUAUGAUAUAUUUUUGCAUAUUUUUACCAAUAAAAAUAAAUAUGUAAUAAUUGUACGUGAAAGAUAUUAUUCUGAGCAACACAUUUGUUUUAGCUUGAAUUAAAUCAAAAUCACUCAAUUUCUAGAUGUUUAUGCAGUAUACUGCUUAAAAGGCAAAGGAAACCUUUACAAAAUGAAAUUACUUGGAUUUGAUUCAGAGUAAUUUUGUGUUAUUAAGCUUCCCAAUGACCUAAAUAAAUUUAGAAAAAAACUAUUAAAAGAAUAAAUUCAUCGAACUCGUUAUAAUUUUAAGAUUAGGUGAAUAAUAUUAGUAUACAAAUGUAUACAGUGUAUAUAUGUAAACUAGUGUACAUAUGUAAAUGCGUAUAAUCUUAACGGAAUAGAUAGAUUCUAAGGGAAAUUUUGAACUGAUAGCAUAACAAAACGACCAAGUGUAGAAUAAAGUCAUUUGACUCAUUUAAAUGAUUUGCCUAAAUGCGAUUACAUUUAAUACAGAAUGAUUUAAAUGAAUUAUUCGUAAUCCAUCUGGCGUUGAAUCAUUCACUGAAAUAUUACUGAAUUCAACUCUAGCUCUUGUCUACCUCUGUCAGAAUGCAUUAUAAUUUCCACUCAUGUCUUUAAUUACGAGCUUUUCCCUGAAAAAAAAGCUUAAAGAUAGUUUUACUGUGAUAGCUUAAGCUAACGAAAAUCUGUGAUUAUUUGAAUAGCUUCCAAAAUCCAUCUUUAUUUCGAUUUCCCUUUCUUAUCUUUAUUUCUCUUCCUCUCUUGUACAAAUACCCUAAAUCAAAGUAAACAAUACUAUGUCAAAGUCGCAUGAAACAAUUCCCAGAUGUUAAUUAUACACGGAAAAGUGAACAAAGAAUCCGCAUUCAUUCUCCCUCAUGAAUAUGACAUUUGUCAUUGUUUAUUGGAGGUAUAGAGGAUGUUAAUUGCCUUUGUCUGUAGAAUAUUCGAGAAUGACUACAAGAUUCCCGCAACGAAGUUAUUACUUCCGCUUUUGGUUUCCAGCGAAUAGUAAUAACAGAAAGGAGAAUAAAAAGUGCUUUUCCGAAUCUACAAGCAUUGUAUUAGUUUCAAAAUGCUUAUAAAUACAUUUAUAAAUAAAUCUAAAAAACACGCUCUCCUAACCUUCGUGUAGCAUAAAUCAGCGUCUAAAAUAGAAUAGCUUAUUAUUAUUUCUAAAAUUAAUAAUUUUACAAUAUUAAUUAUAACAUUGCGUGUCUGAAGAAAAAGAAUUUAUUACAUAUGUGCUUUUGUUGAAUUUGUACAGAUAUGAAUUCUAGGAAUUUACCAUUAUUCCUAUAUUUAUCUGAAAUAUCUAUUGUUUAGUUUUUGAUGAUUUCUUUUCUAUGUAAAUAUAAUGGAAAAUAUCUUUUUUCAUUUUGUUUAUUUAUCUUCUUCACUACGCUAAAAAAAACAGCUUUUCUCACGAACCUCUUAAUAUCUUUAGCAGGUUUCUAGAUCCGCGUCAAAUAUUCUCGUCUUGCUUCCCUACUCUCCCUUUUUGUUUUUCUUCUUCUUGAGUUGUUUCACUUCUAAUAGAAUCUACCAAUUAUUAAAAUACUUUUUAAGGAACGCAUAAAAUAACAGACUGGAAAUUUUAUUUGCCUUUACCAGGUAUCUUCGAUUACUUUCGGGAUAAGAACAGCAGCAAUUAAUUAUGGAAUGGGUUCCUUACUAUUAAAAUUGGUAUCGUAUUUAAUUAUAAAGUCUGCUUUACCAUACAUCUUUAUUUUUUUAAAAAGGAAAUAGUUAAAUCUUCUCAAUCAUUAUAAGUCUUACUGGCAGCAAUGAUUGCUUUAUUUCAUCACUUUCCUGUUGCAGGUUAUCAUUCUAUAUCCUCUGAUUAUUAAAUUUAACAGUUUUACUGUGGAUCUUUCUACCUGAAUUAGCUUUCGGCAUUUAUAUCGAGAAUGACUUUUUCCUUGGGUAGUUUUAAGACGCCCAAAUUGAAAUUACUCACACUUUUAUUGGCCAAUUCGGUAUUUUUAUUUUUGUUACUGACCCGAAUUCUACUUUAUCAUUCUGUUUGCAGCUAAGGUUCAAUUUAAACCAUUUACGAAACAUUCACUAAUGUCUUAAUAGUAUGAACGGUUGUUAGUUGUGCUCUUGUAUUCUCUUUUAGUCUGGACCAAUGUAGAUGGCUCUUGCUAUAAUUUAUUCAUAGUUGUUCUGAUUGUACAGUUUCCAGUUCGUAGUACAUUAAAUAUUUUAUAUCCUUUUAAAUUUAGACUAAAUGACCUUAUUCAUUGGUCUCUUUCAAAUUCAACUUAUAUUUAUCGUCUAGAACCUAAUGCUUAUUGCAUGGAAAUCGAUUUAUAAAAAAAUUGAUAUUGGUCUUGGUCUUCGAUAUACUAAAAAAAACUCUUAAUGAGCUCUCAGUACUUUUGAAUUUUCCUAUUUUCCAAUUUAUGCAAAUGAAUAUGUUAAUUAUUGAAUAUUUUAGACAAUUAUUAUGCUAAACAGGA